AAGUGCAAAACCCCCACAGCUCUCAGAGGGUGCAGGUGUGAGGGCUGACAGCUGGACCAUGAGCAGCAAGUCCCCUCAGGGAUCACAGUGCAUUUCCUGCCCCAGGACGGCCUCAGCCGCACCAAAAUAAACCCCCAGAGGAGCACAUCUCAGGUUUUGCCUGGCUGAGCUGCAUGAAUUCCUUUCUCUUUGACUGCCUAGGCUGUAGGUGAGGCUGACACACUGAAGUUGCAGUGCUUCAUGACCAAAAAGGAUCAGAUGGUCGUUGGGCUGUUUUGGAGAACACCCCAUGGUCUUGGAUGACUGGGAGUCCGACGUUGGAGAACUGCAGUGAAUUGAGGAGUGAUGCUUCUGCUCCUGCCAUCUAAACUGUGGUCAGAUGAAAUGGUCGGAUUAAAUGACCACCUUGAUUUAUCUGGGCUUAAAAUGGACAAUCCAAGUGGCACAGCAGAGCUACCAGCCCCACUGCAUCACCGUGCCAGGGACCACUCGGUGCUCACCUCCCACCAGCAGAAGGAAGGAAAUUGUUCCAGAUGUGUUGCAGAGUGUCCCAGCAGCCAGAAGCAAAAAGUGCAGCCGCAACAGCUGCCUCACCAAAGACUCAGCCAGAGGUGGCUCCCAUCACCCAAGUAAGGUGGUGUGGCUACAAAAGCUCUUGCUGGAAGCUACAUCCCUGCAGCCCUCCAGCUCCCACUGCUUCUGCCCUCCCUGGGACCCCACAGCCUCUUGCAUUCAGCAGGUGCCUCUUUUCCCCUUCCAUCUGUGCAGACACCAGGUCACCUCUCUGCACAACCUGCUGGAGGCAAACCCAGGACUCAGCCCCCUCCAAAACUGCAUCAGACCUGCAGAAACUAUUACAGGAACCCAAGUGACCAGCUGGCCCAGCCCCCAAGGGCUGCAGGGGCUUGGUCUGUGCCAGGCUUUCCUGAUGUUACUGCUCUGUUCCGAUGAAACAUUAUACAGAAAGAUACAGGCAGAGCAUUAUGCUCACAGCCCUUGCCAACAAGUUAUGUUUUAAUGUAAUUUAACUGUAAUCUCAGAGUGUUUUUGUUAGCUAUAAUUAGUAAAAUAUGUCUGUUUUCUGUGUUCCUUGAAGACGUCUGAACUCCUGCCAGUUCCCUAUAGUUUCCCUGACAUGCAGUGUAACAAGCAGACCACCAAAAUGUAUUUACCAAUAACUGUUUAUUUACAUUCCAUGAAAUCUAAUAACAUUUGCUGCCUUCAUUCGGGAUAAA